GUAGCCGCUCCAAGGCAUCAGUCCCACUGCUCUCAUCUGUAUCUUCAUCAGAGGCGUUGUUGGGGUUUUCUCCCCAAAGCCUCACGACCCAUCCCGAAAUCUCCUCCUCUCUCCCUCCCCAGCGCCCUGUUGAGGUUGCACACACAGAUACAGAAUAACCCCUGUCCUUUCCUGCAGUACCACGAGGAGAUCCGCGUGCUCGCCAGGGCCCGCGCUGCGCGCUCGGUGCGCAGCCAGCGCCGCGCCGACCUGCCGCUCACAGCUGGGGAACAGCUGGAUGUUAUCGACACCCACGGCACGGCCCACGGCGCCCAGGGCCACGCCGUCAUCUGCCGCAACGCCCAGGGCAGAUACGGGUAUGUUCUGGUGGAACACUUGAACUUCAGACAGUACUAACUGCCCUGAGAGCUGCUCUUCCCUGGAGCAUCCCUGAAGGUCUCCUGUGUUCCUGCAUCCCUGACAGCCCAUGUUGGUCAGCUGUGGGGUGGUGAUGGGAAUGUAAAUAAAGCUGGAGUUUUGUACA
rnacentral:lncRNA from 1 species